AAAAAAACAAAGGACCCCUGCUUUGCUCUGCUAGGGUUUUGGACUCUAGUGUCAUCGCGCAGCCUUUCGCCGGCGACCGUGCUCCGAUCAAGACGGAGAGGGCCCCCAGUCGGCGUCUUUGACGAAAGAGGUGAGAUUUUCGCCUUUUCGUAUUAUUUAUUUAAAAAAGAAAAAAAAUGAAUAACGAAAGGAAAAAAAAAAUAGGAAUCCGAUUUCACCUUUGAAAAAAAAUCUUUGUAUUUCUCAGUAUUUUUUUCUCUAUUUUCCUAUUUCUUUACACUGAAUCCUCCCUCACUUACAGAUUUCCCAAAGGCUUUUAUAGCCCGAAAAAUCGAAAAAAAAAAAUAAAAUAAAAUUUCACUAAUUAUUGUUGCUGUUUUAUCUCAAUCGGGCUCUUUGAGUCUGUUUUUUGCAGGAAAUCGUGGAGCAAACGUGAAGGAGGAUCUCCGAGUCCUACGGCGAUCGGGAUCUUGCUGGUGGCUGCUGCAGCUAGCUUAGGGUUUCUGCUUUUUGGCGUUAAGGGCUGCA
rnacentral:lncRNA from 1 species